rnacentral:rRNA from 1 species
CGCGUAGGCGGUUUAAUUAAGCUCGGUGUUAAAGGCACUGGCUUAACCAGUGUUGAGCGCUGGGAACUGUUAGGCUUGAGUUCAGGAGGGGAAGCUGGAAUUCCUGGUGUAGGGGUGAAAUCUGUAGAUAUCAGGAAGAACACCGGUGGCGAAGGCGAGCUUCUAUCCAUGGACUGACGCUGAGGCGCGAAAGCGUGGGGAGCGAACA